rnacentral:rRNA from 1 species
UCGAGCGGUAACAGAUCUAGCUUGCUAGAUGCUGACGAGCGGCGGACGGGUGAGUAACGCGUAGGAAACUGCCGAGUAGUGGGGGAUAGCCCAGAGAAAUUUGGAUUAAUACCGCAUACGCCCUACGGGGGAAAGGAGGGGAUCUUCGGACCUUUCGCUAUUCGAUGUGCCUGCGUGAGAUUAGCUUGUUGGUGAGGUAAAGGCUCACCAAGGCGACGAUCUCUAGCUGGUUUGAGAGGAUGAUCAGCCACACUGGGACUGAGACACGGCCCAGACUCCUACGGGAGGCAGCAGUGGGGAAUAUUGCACAAUGGGGGAAACCCUGAUGCAGCCAUGCCGCGUGUGUGAAGAAGGCCUUCGGGUUGUAAAGCACUUUCAGCAGUGAGGAAAGGUUGUAAGUUAAUACCUUGCAGCUAUGACGUUAACUGCAGAAGAAGGACCGGCUAACUCCGUGCCAGCAGCCGCGGUAAUACGGAGGGUCCGAGCGUUAAUCGGAAUUACUGGGCGUAAAGCGCGCGUAGGCGGCUAGGUCAGUCAGAUGUGAAAGCCCCGGGCUUAACCUGGGAAUUGCAUCUGAUACUGCUUGGCUAGAGUACAGAAGAGGGUGGUGGAAUUUCCUGUG